rnacentral:rRNA from 1 species
ACCAGACUCCUACGGGAGGCAGCAGUGGGGGAUAUUGCACAAUGGGGGAAACCCUGAUGCAGCGACGCCGCGUGAGUGAAGAAGUAUUUCGGUAUGUAAAGCCCUAUCAGCAGGGAAGAAGAAAGACGGUACCUGAGUAAGAAGCCCCGGCUAACUACGUGCCAGCAGCCGCGGUAAUACGUAGGGGGCAAGCGUUAUCCGGAUUUACUGGGUGUAAAGGGAGCGUAGACGGUAUGGCAAGUCUGAAGUGAAAGCCCCGGGCUCAACCUGGGAACUGCUUUGGAAACUGUUAAACUAGAGUGCUGGAGAGGCAGGCGGAAUUCCUAGUGUAGCGGUGAAAUGCGUAGAUAUUAGGAGGAACACCAGUGGCGAAGGCGGCCUGCUGGACAGUAACUGACGUUGAGGCUCGAAAGCGUGGGGAGCAAACAGGAUUAGAUACCCUGGUAU